rnacentral:misc_RNA from 1 species
AAGUCGUAACAAGGUUUCCGUAGGUGAACCUGCGGAAGAUCAUUAACACGUAUCCAAACGUUAAAACCCGUGAACCUUCAUCCUGCUCUUGUAACCCGCUGAUUCGGAGACCUCUGGCUACGUGCGAACAUUGGAACAGUUACAAUCGAGCGGUAGUUCUAUAGGCAAUGUUUCCCCAAGCAGUCAGUGUCGGAAAGUGUCAUUGAUUGUGCAAGGAUAGCGCUUCUACGAUUCCUGUAGACCGUACACUCGGGCAGGAGCUUUGCCAAAGGGUCCCCAUGCCCCCUAAUAACCCCACAGUUUAAUGUGAAGCUCAAUGUAAUACAUUGGGUAAAAAAACCGAACAACUGUUAACAAUGGAUAUCUUGGUUCUC